rfam:Clostridium symbiosum WAL-14163 genomic scaffold supercont1.2, whole genome shotgun sequence.
UGAUACCAGGGUCAAAAGGUUGGAAAUAUGAUGCAAGCUUGCUUGCAUGAAGAUUUUUAAUCUUGGGACCCGCCAAAAACAUGAGUAAGAAGCCAUUUUUCGCAGAAAAAUGAGCGGAUUGCGAAUGUUUUUGAGGAUUGUGAGAGCACGCAGUGCGGAGCAAUCCGGUAUCA